rnacentral:rRNA from 1 species
CAGCAGCCGCGGGAAAACGUAGGUGGCAAGCGUUGUCCGGAAUUAUUGGGCGUAAAGGGCUCGCAGGCGGUUUCUUAAGUCUGAUGUGAAAGCCCCCGGCUCAACCGGGGAGGGUCAUUGGAAACUGGGAAACUUGAGUGCAGAAGAGGAGAGUGGAAUUCCACGUGUAGCGGUGAAAUGCGUAGAGAUGUGGAGGAACACCAGUGGCGAAGGCGACUCUCUGGUCUGUAACUGACGCUGAGGAGCGAAAGCGUGGGGAGCGAACAGGAUUAGAUACCCCCGUAGUCCCUGUCUCUUAUAA